ACGGGUGUGGCGGAAUUUGUAGACGCGCUGGGUUUAGGUUCAAGUGACUUUGGUCGUGAGAGUUCGAGUCUCUUCAUCCGUA